rnacentral:misc_RNA from 1 species
UACGGAGGGUGCAAGCGUUGUUCGGAAUCAUUGGGCGUAAAGCGCGUGUAGGCGGCCCGUUAAGUCUGAUGUGAAAGCCCGGGGCUUAACCCCGGAAGUGCAUUGGAUACUGGCGGGCUAGAGGACGGGAGAGGGAAGCGGAAUUCCUGGUGUAGGGGUGAAAUCCGUAGAUAUCAGGAGGAACAUCAGUGGCGAAGGCGGCUUCCUGGCCCGUAUCUGACGCUGAGACGCGAAAGCGUGGGGAGCAAACAGG